UGGUUCACUUCCUAUAGGGACUGAAAACCAAGUGAGGAGAUGCAUUGCUCAAGACAGAGAAGGUUGAGCAGUACAACCAUCUUCUGGAAAUCAGAGUGGUCACGGGAGCUUUGACAUAUUAUCAGAUCUGAAACUGAUCGGUGAGGUGGAGCCUUCCAGGAGAACCAACUUCUCUGAACAUUCAUCUGUGGGGAGACUGGAGGCUGGGAAGAAAUGUGAGUGGAUGCCAAGUCAACUAAGUUGCAUGAGGUAUUCACUCCUAUCUGGAGGUGAGGCUGAUCAAAGGUGAGGUGUGUGAGAAGGGCGCCAUAGACUCAGAAUUUCUUAAACACAAGGUACAUUUGCAGAAUAGCUAUAACACAAGGAAAGUUUCUUGGAAAAGAAACCGUUCAAGUGUGAGGAGUGUAAUCAAACUUUUGAGCAGUCAUCAAUGCUUGUGACUCACCGACGCAUUCACAUAGGAAAGAAGCCGUUCAAAUGUGAAAUAUGUGAUCAGAGGUUUGCCCAGUUAUCGGGCCUUGCGAAUCACUGGCCCAUUCACAUAGGGGAAAAACCAUCCAAGUGUGAGGUGUGCGGCAAGUCAUUCUCACAGUCAUCAACACUCCUCUUGCAUUAACGUGUUCACACAGGGGAGAAACCAUUCCGGUGUGAGGUGUGUUUCAAAUCUUUCUCCGACUUGUCGACCUUCCGCAGACACCAACGCAUUCACACAGGGAAGAAACCAUUUAUGUGUGGAGUGUGCAACGAAUCGUUCUCAUUGUCAUCAGAUCUUCGUAUACACCAACGCAUUCAUACAGGGGAGAGACCGUUUAUGUGCAAACUGUGUGAGAAGUCAUUCUUGUCAUCAUCAGAUCUCUGCAGACAUCAACGCAUUCACACAGGGGAGAAACCAUUCAGAUGUGAAGUGUGUAACAAAUCAUUUUUGCAGUCAGGAAACCUCCGCACACCAACGCAUCCACAUAGGGGAGAAACUGUUCAAAUGUAGCAUUUGUGACAGAUCAUUCUCUGACUCAACAAGGCUUCUGCUUCACCAGAGGGUCCACACAGGGGAGAAACCAUUCACAUGUGAGGUGUGUAAUAAAUCAUUCUCGAUGUCAUCAAGCCUCAAUGAACACCAUCAUAUUCACACAGGAGAGAAACCAUUCAGAUGCAAGGUAUGUGACAAGGCAUUCUCGAUAUCAUCAAGCUUCUGUGUAUACCAACGCAUUCACACGGGAGAAACCAUACAGAUGUGAAGUGUUUAACAAAGCAUUCUCGAUCAAGUUUCCGUGUACACCAAAACAUUCAUAUGGGGAGAGACCAUUCAAAUGUGAAAUGUGUGGCAAAUCAUUCUCGCAGUCAGGAAAUCUCUGCACACACCGAAGUACCCACACAGGGGAGAAACAUUUCAAGUGUAAGUUAUGUGACAGAUCAUUCUCCAACUCAGCAAGGUUCUUGCUUCACCAAAGGAUCCAUACAGGGGAGAAGCCAUUCACAUGUGAAGUGUGUGACAAAUCAUUUUCUUUGUCAUCAAGCUUCCAUGUACACCAAUGCAGUCAUAAGGGGAGAAACCGUUCAAAUGUGAUGUGUGCAACAAAUCAUUCGUGAGGUCAUGGAACCUCCUGUUCCAUCGGAGGAUCCACACAGGGGAGUGAAAUGUUUAUCAUGGAAUGCUUUUGGUAUCUUUAAUCAUUCAUGGGAUUCACCAUGGGAUUCACACAGGGGAGAAACUCUUCAGUUGCAGUGUUUGUGACAAGACUUUCACACAGUCAGUGUAAUUAUCCAUCAAGCACAUUCACGUUCGUGACAAAUCCGAUUGCUAUAGCAUCUGUCACGAAGCCUUCACACAGUUUAUGCACCCAGUGGAACAUCAGCGAACCCACAGUGAAAUGACUGACCAAAGCUUUGCCCGUCUGUCCUCAACGUGUGAAUCUGUACCCAGUCUCACUGAGCAGGGUGUUCAGUGGGACUGAGACACAGAACAAGAAGCAGCUUUCACUCCCAUCAAACAACUAGUGAUGACAUCACCAGUGCUGAGAGAUUAUGAUGUAACAAUGGAGUCACCCUGCAGUGUGAUGUCAGUGAAACAGGACUUGGAGUAACCCCCAUGCAGUGAGGACAACUCGCUGUGUUCGUAUCCAGAGUGUCUACACAAACUGAACAACACUGGGUACAGGUUGAGAAAAAGAGUCUAGAUAUUGUCUUGCUUGUGAGCAUUUCAAUGUGUACCUGUUUGGGAAAGAGGAAAAAACUGAUAAUUGACUUCAGUGAGAAAGGAUGAGAUAACACCCCCAUCUCCAUCAAUGGAACUGAAAUUGAAGGGGAGAACUACAAGUUCCUAGGAGUGGUGAGAGCUGACAACCUGUCCUGGAUUUCCCAUAUAGUUGCAAUGGUCAAGGCACAACAAUGCCUCUUCUUCCUGAGGUGGCUCAGCAAAUUUGGUAUGCCCAUAAGGACUCUCUCCAAACUCGAUAGAUGCGCAUUUGAAAGCACACUGUCCGAGUGUAUAAUGGUCUGGUAUGGCACCUACUCUGCCCAGGAUCACAGGAAGCAAUACAGGAUGGUGUGCACAGCCCAGGCCAUCAUGGGAGCCACCCUUCCACCCAGUGACUCCAUUUACACUGCCGCAGAAAGGCUGCCAACAUCAUCAAAGACCUUUCGCACCCGGAUAAUGAUCUUCCAUCACGCAGAAUAUACACAUGGCUGAACACGUGCGCCAAACGAUUGCUCCAUAAUAGAGAAUACAGAGAGGAAAGAUGCUGCAGAUGGAUCCUGAGCAACGCCCAACUGUACAACUGUGGGAAGACAUCCAGUCCCAUCGCAUCUCAACACAGAGCAGGUUGGGCAAUGAAACCAUCGUCUGGAAUCAGUCUGGUGAAGAACAAUGAGGGGAGAUCAAAUUCGGGCAGAAAAAGCCGGAUUGAGUGGAGUCAGGCUCACAGAGACCCUGGGUUUUACAUUUGCGAUUCAACUGUGGAAAUUGGAUUUUUGGAGUUGAAACUGCUAGAUACAGCUCCCUUUGUGUUGCUGAAAAAGCUUGAUUUCUCUCUCUGCAGCGAGAUUCUUUCGGUUGGUGUUUCUUCGCUUGGACUGGAUGAGAUGGAAAGUGAGGGAAAUCUAUUUUGCUGAAUUUCCCUUGAGUACUGCUAUAUUGAAACAGUUGAUGAAUAGCAGUUAAAUAAUAUGUUGUCAAAUAUUUUGACAGAGUUUAAGUGAUGCCUUCUUUUGUUUGUAU